rnacentral:rRNA from 1 species
GACGAACGCUGGCGGCGUGCCUAAUACAUGCAAGUUGAGCGCUGAAGGUUGGUACUUGUACCAACUGGAUGAGCAGCGAACGGGUGAGUAACGCGUGGGGAAUCUGCCUUUGAGCGGGGGACAACAUUUGGAAACGAAUGCUAAUACCGCAUAAAAACUUUAAACACAAGUUUUAAGUUUGAAAGAUGCAAUUGCAUCACUCAAAGAUGAUCCCGCGUUGUAUUAGCUAGUUGGUGAGGUAAAGGCUCACCAAGGCGAUGAUACAUAGCCGGCCUGAGAGGGUGAUCGGCCACAUUGGGACUGAGACACGGCCCAAACUCCUACGGGAGGCAGCAGUAGGGAAUCUUCGGCAAUGGAGGAAAGUCUGACCGAGCAACGCCGCGUGAGUGAAGAAUGUUUUCGGAUCGUAAAACUCUGUUGGUAGAGAAGAACGUUGGUGAGAGUGGAAAGCUCAUCAAGUGACGGUAACUACUCAGAAAGCGACGGCUAACUACGUG